GGGCCUUAGCUCAGUGGCAGAGCAUCUGCCUUGCAAAAACAAGGUCCCAGGUUCGAUUCCCGACAUCUCCA